UGGUUCAAUAGUGAAAGACGGUUUUGCUGUCACUUAUAGAUGGAUCCGCGCCGCAUCAGCUAGUUGGUAAGGUAACGGCUUACCAAGGCAACGAUGCGUAGCCGACCUGAGAGGGUGAUCGGCCACACUGGAACUGAGACAUGGUCCAGACUCCUACGGGAGGCAGCAGUAGGGAAUCUUCCGCAAUGGGCGAAAGCUUGACGGAGCAACGCCGCGUGAGUGAUGAAGGUCUUCGGAUCGUAAAACUCUGUUAUUAGGGAAGAACAAAUGUGUAAGUAACUAUGCACGUCUUGACGGUACCUAAUCAGAAAGCCACGGCUAACUACGUGCCAGCAGCCGCGGUAAUACGUAGGUGGCAAGCGUUAUCCGGAAUUAUUGGGCGUAAAGCGCGCGUAGGCGGUUUUUUAAGUCUGAUGUGAAAGCCCACGGCUCAACCGUGGAGGGUCAUUGGAAACUGGAAAACUUGAGUGCAGAAGAGGAAAGUGGAAUUCCAUGUGUAGCGGUGAAAUGCGCAGAGAUAUGGAGGAACACCAGUGGCGAAGGCGACUUUCUGGUCUGUAACUGACGCUGAUGUGCGAAAGCGCGGGGAUCAAACAGGAUUAGAUACCCUGGUAGUCCACGCCGUAAACGAUGAGUGCUAAGUGUUA
rnacentral:rRNA from 1 species